rnacentral:rRNA from 1 species
GACGAACGCUGGCGGCGUGCUUAACACAUGCAAGUCGAACGGUAAGGCCCUUCGGGGUACACGAGUGGCGAACGGGUGAGUAACACGUGGGUGAUCUGCCCUGCACUUCGGGAUAAGCCUGGGAAACUGGGUCUAAUACCGGAUAGGACUCCUGCCUGCAUGGGUGGGGGUGGAAAGCUUUUGCGGUGUGGGAUGGGCACGCGGCCUAUUAGCUUGUUGGUGGGGUGAUGGCCUACCAAGGCGGCGACGGGUAGCCGGCCUGAGAGGGUGACCGGCCACGCUGGGACUGGGAUACGGCCCAGACUCCUACGGGAGGCAGCAGUGGGGAAUCUUGCACAAUGGGCGCAAGCCUGAUGCAGCGACGCCGCGUGAGGGAUGACGGCCUUCGGGUUGUAAACCUCUUUCAGCACAGACGAAGCGCAAGUGACGGUAUGUGCAGAAGAAGGACCGGCCAACUACGUGCCAGCCGCCGCGGUAA